UACAUUUUUAUUUUAAUUAUUGAUUUGGGUUUCUUUCAGUUUUAUGGGAUCUGGUGGCCUUUAUUCGAUAGUGAUUUGACAGGAAAUGAGAGAAGAGCAGGCCGGGAAUCGAACCUGCAACCCCUGCGCCCCACUGAGCCCCCUGAAUGAUCCGUUAAUCCAUAAUCUAUUACUGAAUUAAUUUAGGAUACAUUCAGUAGAAAACAGAACCAGAACCUCUAAAACCUUCUGUUCAUCUCCAGAACUGCUGAAGAACUGGACUGAAACGGGUCAGUAGAACGGAUCAGAACCGGUUUUGUCGGCUGCAGUCUGUUUCUUUUCCUGACCUGGCGGACAGAACAUCAACUCCUCCAUGUUCUAGGUUCUAUAGAUCUAGGUGCAGGCAGGUCCAGUCAGGUGCGCAUGCGCACUGGAGAUAACCCUUCAAGUAAAAAAAGAAAAGAAUAGUUUUUGGAUUUUUUUAUUAUCUAACCCUCUUUACUAUUAAAAUUGUGGAGAAAAAUGAUCUUUUGGGUGAAAACGUCUUGUAAAGUCUGUUGUGGGAACGCCAAAGCCUGAAUCCGAUUGGUCAGUUUGCUUUUGUUUAUUUGGCAGCUUGGUGUUUUUUCUGUGAGCUAAAAAUGAAAGAGGGAGUUUGAUCCUCCCGUAGUUCAAAGAGCCGUUUGGAUCCCGCCUGAGCUUUUCAGCUGUGUGGUUCUGGUGGGUCGCCGGUUUUAUGGUUUGGCGAACGGAAGAGCUGAUGGGUCACCGGUUGGCCGACCGUGAAAUCUGCCGCUCUUCCUGAGCGUGGCGCUACACCUGCGGGUUAAACAGUGGAAAUGUUGACCAAAGAGUAGAAAUGAAGCAGACAUUGUUGCUUCUCCUCCUCUGGACGUCUCAGAGCCACCGGAACCUGGGAAUCUCCUUCCUCCUCCCGGUCCACAUCAUGUCUUCUUAUUUAGCAUAAUUUGUGGAAAAAUAAAUGAAUAAAAA